AGGUCCUGCCUGCCCAGUGACUAUGUUAAACGGCCGCGGUAUUUUGACCGUGCAAAGGUAGCGCAAUCACUUGUCUUUUAAAUGAAGACCUGUAUGAAUGGUGAAACGAGGGCCUAACUGUCUCCCUUUUCAAGUCAAUGAAAUUGAUCUGCCCGUGCAGAAGCGGACAUAUAAGUACAAGACGAGAAGACCCUUUGGAGCUUAAGAUUAAAAAUCAACUAUGUCAAAUAUCCAUCAGAUAAAACUAAAUAACACCUGAUCAUAAUCUUCGGUUGGGGCGACCACGGAAUAAAAACAAACUUCCACAAGGACUGAGGACUAACCUUAAAACCAAGAAAGACAUUUCUAAGUCACAGAAUUUCUGACCAUAUAGAUCCGGUAAAUCACCGAUCAAUGGACCAAGUUACCCUAGGGAUAACAGCGCAAUCCCCUUUUAGAGUCCCUAUCGACAAGGGGGUUUACGACCUCGAUGUUGGAUCAGGAC
rnacentral:rRNA from 1 species